UUGUUUUCUCCAAAGACGUUUCU
rnacentral:miRNA from 1 species